rnacentral:lncRNA from 8 species
AUCUGUGUAUCAUGCCAAUGAAGAGAUGUUCAUGAAUUUGCAGGAAUGUCCACAUGAAUGUGAUAAACCCUUCCUGUGUUGAGAAAGAUCAUGUUUCACAGGAUAUUUGCGGUGUUGUGAGGAAGCAUGUCUGUGAAGCUAUGCACAAGGCCUAAAGUUGAAUGAGGAGGAUGAAUAGGCUCUGUAGGGAAUGCUAACUUAUCAUAUUUUCCUCCUUAUAGGGUUGCAACAUGUUUAACGACACCAACUACACAGCCUUGUAUUGUUGUCUUCAGGUUGGAUGCGGUUUGAUCACAUGGUGCAGCAGUUCCUUUGUAGUCCUCCAGCUGUGUGGUGCCACACAGAUAAGACUGUUUUAUUGAUUCCCAAUAUAACCCCAAAGACACACGCUACCUGCAUGGGCAUUCUAAUCAUAACUCGAAAGACAGGACGCUGUUUUUUUUUUUUGUGUGUGUUUUUCUUCCCGUGCCAACUUGCCACUGCUAUGAUUGGCCAUCUAUGCGCUUGUAAUGAGAACAACGUAAUGUAUGAUGAUAAAACAGUGUUCUAUCUUUAUGAUGCAUGUAAAUGGUUAGUUAUUAUCAAUAUGCUUUGCAGUCUUAAGUAAUGAUUCAGGGAGGUUUUGGGACCAUGGGGAAACAUGUCACUUUAUUGAUAUCCACCAAUUUACUUACGAUAUCAACAGUGGCUGAUGUUUUCCUACUGAAGGCAUGGUCAUAAAAGAAUAUCUCUACUUGUCAUUAAUCUUGUAUCUUCAAUAAAUGCAUAUAAGGUAAUUUGGUUCAUUUGUAGAGACUCACCUCCAUUAUUCUGUUUGUGUGCACCUAGAAAAUAACAUAAGGUCUAUCUACCAUUUUGCCUUUACUGAUCUCACUAGACCAUCAUCCUAUCCAAGAAAUAACACUGUUUGGAGGAGCGGACUAAAACGUUCCAUUAAACUCCUUCUGCUGAAUUUAUAGUCACUGUUAAAUUGUCCAGAGUGAUGCGUACUGUCCAGCCAUCCAAUCUGUAAUUGCUGUGGUUGAGGAAGCCCAGGCCCUUGUAAUGUUUUAAUCAGGCCGUGAUAUUGAACUGCUC